rnacentral:rRNA from 1 species
GAUGAACGCUGGCGGCGUGCCUAAUACAUGCAAGUCGAGCGAACAGACGAGGAGCUUGCUCCUCUGACGUCAGCGGCGGACGGGUGAGUAACACGUGGAUAACCUACCUAUAAGACUGGGAUAACUUCGGGAAACCGGAGCUAAUACCGGAUAAUAUAUUGAACCGCAUGGUUCAAUAGUGAAAGACGGUUUUGCUGUCACUUAUAGAUGGAUCCGCGCCGCAUUAGCUAGUUGGUAAGGUAACGGCUUACCAAGGCAACGAUGCGUAGCCGACCUGAGAGGGUGAUCGGCCACACUGGAACUGAGACGCGGUCCAGACUCCUACGGGAGGCAGCAGUAGGGAAUCUUCCGCAAUGGGCGAAAGCCUGACGGAGCAACGCCGCGUGAGUGAUGAAGGUCUUCGGAUCGUAAAACUCUGUUAUUAGGGAAGAACAAAUGUGUAAGUAACUAUGCACGUCUUGACGGUACCUAAUCAGAAAGCCACGGCUAACUACGUG